rnacentral:rRNA from 1 species
GACGAGUGCUGGCGGCGUGCCUAAUACAUGCAAGUUGAGCGAUGAAGAUUGGUGCUUGCACCAAUUUGAAGAGCAGCGAACGGGUGAGUAACGCGUGGGGAAUCUGCCUUUGAGCGGGGGACAACAUUUGGAAACGAAUGCUAAUACCGCAUAACAACUUUAAACAUAAGUUUUAAGUUUGAAAGAUGCAAUUCCAUCACUCAAAGAUGAUCCCGGGUUGUAUUAGCUAGUUGGUGAGGUAAAGGCUGGCCAAGGCGAUGAUACAUAGCCGACCUGAGAGGGUGAUCGGCCACAUUGGGACUGAGACACGGCCCAAACUCCUACGGGAGGCAGCAGUAGGGAAUCUUCGGCAAUGGACGAAAGUCUGACCGAGCAACGCCGCGUGAGUGAAGAAGGUUUUCGGAUCGUAAAACUCUGUUGGUAGAGAAGAACGUUGGUGAGAGUGGAAAGCUCAUCAAGUGACGGUAACUACCCAGAAAGGGACGGCUAACUACGUGCCAGCAGCCGCAGUAA